rnacentral:rRNA from 1 species
CCUACGGGAGGCAGCAGUGAGGAAUAUUGGUCAAUGGACGAGAGUCUGAACCAGCCAAGUAGCGUGAAGGAUGACUGCCCUACGGGUUGUAAACUUCUUUUAUAUGGGACUAACAUGUUCCACGUGUGGGUUUUUGUAUGUACCAUAUGAAUAAGGAUCGGCUAACUCCGUGCCCGCAGCCGCGGUAAUACGGAGGAUCCGAGCGUUAUCCGGCUUUAUUGGGUUUAAAGGGAGCGUAGGUGGAUUGUUAAGUCAGUUGUGAAAGUUUGCGGCUCAACCGUAAAAUUGCAGUUGACACUGGCAGUCUUGAGUACAGUAGAGGUAGGCGGAAUUCGUGGUGUAGCGGUGAAAUGCUUAGAUAUCACGAAGAACUCCGAUUGCGAAGGCAGUUCACUGAACUGCAACUGACACUGAGGCUCGAAAGUGUGGGUAUCAAACAGGAUUAGAUACCCCAGUAGUC